CCUACGGGGGGCAGCAGUGGGGAAUAUUGCGCAAUGGGCGAAAGCCUGACGCAGCGACGCCGCGUGAGGGAUGAAGGUCUUCGGAUCGUAAACCUCUGUCAGCAGGGAAGAACGGUCACUGUGCUAAUCAGCAGUGAAUUGACGGUACCUGCAAAGGAAGCACCGGCUAACUCCGUGCCAGCAGCCGCGGUAAUACGGAGGGUGCGAGCGUUAAUCGGAAUUACUGGGCGUAAAGCGCUCGUAGGCGGUAUGUCAAGUCAAGGGUGAAAUCCCCGCGCUCAACGUGGGAACUGCCUUUGAAACUGGCAAACUGGAGUGUGUGAGAGGUUAGUGGAAUUCCAGGUGUAGGAGUGAAAUGCGUAGAUAUCUGGAGGAACAUCAGUGGCGAAGGCGACUAUCUGGCACAUAACUGACGCUGAGGGGCGAAAGCGUGGGUAGCAAACAGGAUUAGAUACCCGUGUAGUC
rnacentral:rRNA from 1 species